UAUAUUUUUCCCUUUUUUGCCAAGAUAGCCCAGAAAUCAGUAAAAAUCAUAAACCAAAAAAAGUACUUAGGCGUGAACUUGGAAAUAUGUUUUAAAUAUAGUACCCAAAAUCUAAAACAAAAUGUUUUUCAGUCAAUGAUCAGGACUUCAGUGAUAUUAAUUGAGUGAAAUAUUUGGAAUCUAGAAAAAUGUUUUAACCCUAUUUAAUAAGUAUAUAGUUACAAUCGUGUAAAACUUUUGGAGCGUUUUAACUUAACCAG